CAAUAGCGUAUAUUAAAGCUGUUGCGGUUAAAAAGCUCGUAGUUGGAUUUCUGUCAAGGACAACUGGUCCGCCCCUCGGGUGAGCACAUAGUUUGGUCUUGGCAUCUUGUUGGAAACUGUUGCUGCACUUGGUUGUGUGGCGCAGUGUCCAGCACUUUCACUUUGAGGAAAUUGGAGUGUUUCAAGCAGGCACAUGCCUUUGGACACAGUAGCAUGGAAUAAUUAGAUUGGGCUUUUGCUCCAACUUGUCGGUUUCUGGAGCUGAGGUGAGAAUUAAUGGGGAUUGUUGGGGGCAUCCGAAUUUAGCCGUCAGAGGUGAAAUUCUUGGAUCUGCUAAAGACGGACAACUGCGAAAGCGUUUGCCCUGGAUGUUUUCAUUGA
rnacentral:rRNA from 1 species